GGUGACCGUUUGAAUACAAUUCACCCUCACUUUUCUCUCUCUUAUGCACUCUCUCUCUUCCUUCCCUUUCCACCUUGUAAAUCGGCAGAUGGUUCCGUUUGACACACACACAGCGACGUAGUCAUCUCCUUCCGGCGACCGACGCAGCACAUUCAUCUUCGUCCCUCGCUCCUUGUCUCAGCCUCUCUUUUGCUGCUCAACACACACACUCCGGUUUCCUUCCCUCUCUGAGUCGCUGCUGCCCGGCAGAUUCCGGCGUGUCACCGCCGUUUUUCUGACUGCUCUAGGCCAGACUCAUUACUCCUUAAACCCUGCGAGCAACAAAAACAAAAAGGAAUCAAAUUGGUAAAAUUAUGGUGAUCGUUUUCAGUUCCUUCAUCUCACAUUUCAAUUGGCGAUGGUCCACAAACUCCUGAAAACGACAUCAUUCUUUCAUUCUCUCCUUCUUUGGCCAGCUACUAAUGGAACCUUACAGUUAUGGAAAAGAAACUGGAAAUGCUGCACAUCCUACUAAUGCAACUCUGUCUUCCUGGGACUAAUGUCUCUGAGCCAUUUAUGUACGAUACUAUCUCAGAGAAGGAGUUGAGGAGGUGCUAACUUUUAAAGGGGUUAUUAGAGUAGACUUCGUUUUUCUCAAGGGUUGAUCUGCAAACUUAGUUGUUGCUUACUAAUUUCUGGAGUCCUAGGUUUCCCGUGCUUCAAAUAAGUGAUAACAGUGUUCUUUGUUGCCCGAUUUCUUGAGCUAAGGAGCGAGAACUAUUCCGGUUUUGCAAAAUUAAUUGAAAAUGCCAUAGGGCCGAUCGACUGAUUGAGAGCUUUAUGAGUUGCAAUCUUGUUGAUAUUGGUGCAUAAAAAUGAUUUAGGCAAUAGGAAUAAAGGCCAAAUAUCCAAAUUAUCACAUGCCUGACCCUGCAUAAACCCCUAGUGAGCCAGUUUGAGCCACAAAAGCCUAAUUUCUUUGUUGAAAAUUUUGAAGUCCUUAUAUCAGCUUACCUAUUAUAUCCAUUUGUUGGCCUAUAUUUUUUUCCCUAGUCACUAAAAUUAAAGUGCUAGCACAUUCUUGGGAGGGUAUUAUGGUGGCAAGAAAAAGAUGGAGGUUCUGGACCAUUCAUUAGGUGGUAUUCAUACUGAGAUACAAAAAGUAAGUGAAUAGUUGUCCCCUUCAAAUGAAAAUAGAAUAAAAAGGGAGCCUUUCAUGAGUAAAAAAAAGCCAAGGCUAGAAAAAAAAAAUAAAAAAGGCAGCCUUUCAUGUCUAAAAAAAAGCCAAGGCUAGAAAAAUAAAAUAAAAUAAAAAGGCAGCCUUUCUUGAGUAAAAAAAGCCAAGGCUCGAAAAAAAAUAUUGAGCGAAAAAUAGAAAUGAUAAAAGAAUGCUCAAAAGAAUAAGUUGACAGAUGGUUGAAAAAUCUCAUGUUUGGGGUGUUGAGCUGUAAGAAAUUUGUACGCAGUGAGUGAGAUGUGAAAGGUGUUGUGAUGGAUGUGCUAGUAUUUUAAGAACGGUGGUAAGCUACUUAACCAAAUAUUAUCCCACCUUUACCAAAAGCCCCAUUACAUCCCAAUGAAUAAGACCUUUUGAUUUGUGCAUCAUAUUGACUUUUGAGCGAUGAAUUUUGCUUGAUUUUGGGAGAAAGAUCUUAUUUGCUUAAAAUAAAGAAUAGCCGGAAGAACUUCUCUUUAUGAGUUAGUGAUGAUGGUUUGAGACUCCCAAGACACAACUCGAACUUAGAUUGAAGCAUGGGAUGUCUAGUUCUUAGGGAAUUAGUUCGUGUACAAUUCUUGUUCUAAAGUUUUACCCGCGAGUGAAUUCGGGGUCGGCCUAUUUCCCUACUGACUUGAAGCAGAGGAUUAUCUAAUAUCUUUAUACAAUGGAAUGGAGGGUAGCGUAAUACUGCUCCAAGCUAAUUUUGGACACUUUGAUAUUAAGUGUCUCUCAGUUCAUACUAAAGCCAUCAAUGAAGAACUACUGCAAAAUCUUUCUGAUGCUUUGUCUAAAUCGGUCUUGCUUUGUCUAAAUCUGAAGAUCACGAUACCAGGAUGUGUGGAAAGAAUUUUUGUUUGAGUCAGAUUAAAGAGCUGUGUGCCAAUCCUAUUGCAUUUGAGGCGAUUGAGAUAAUUCAACAUAUGCUCGUGUUACUCUUAGUUGGUCUGAAGGCGGAAGGCGCCUCUCUAAGCAUUUAGAUUCAUUCUUGCAAAUGCUAUCUCUUGUGCAACUAAGGUGCUUUCUGUGAUAGUUCCUCGUGCAAAAAUAGACUAGAAUUUCUUAGUCAAUCUGAAAGCCAAGGCCCAACUACAUGGAGAUCACUUCUUCAGGUGGACGAGCAAGAUCUGGGGGCGGCGGCCUGGUGGGGGCAAGUCGUGUGGCGGCAGGGGGAGACUUAGUUCUUAACUUAUAAGAAGCCGGGGGGAAAAGGGAAUAGAUCAAGUUUCUGCGGAUGUUCAGGACCUCUCUCCUAGUCACAUUCAACCUUUGGGUUCACUUUUGAAUAUCUUUUUGGAAGCUUGUCCCUCUAUUUUAAAGGACUAUGCCAUGGAGCCUGAUGAGAAACUUAUACUAAAUGCAGCACAUUUGAUGGUAGCAAGCUUGGCAGGAAGUCUUGCUAAUGUAACAUUUAAGGAACCUGGAAAUGCUGCACAUCCUACUAAUGCAAUUCUGUCUUCCGGGCUUCCUGGGACAAACCUUGAUAUUAGAAUAAGUUGUUUUGAUGAUACAAUCUCAUUUUUAUAUGUUUAAACAUAUGUGUGCUUGCUCUAGAUUAUGAAGCACAAGUCCGAAUAGCAGCUGUCGAAAAGGUUACAAAUUGAUUCUUUUUCUAGUCCUUCACAUUGAGGUGUGGGUGUAUGCCUACAUUCUUCUUUUCUUUGUUUAUAAUUUAUCCUAUUUGUGUUUGCAUGCAAUGUUUUCUCUCUAUUUAUUGUCACCAGACACACUUUUAAUGGGUUAUUAGUGUACUUUUAGUUUCUCUCAAGGGUUGGAGAACUAAGAUUCCCUAAUUUCAAACACCUAACUUUUUAAUAUUUUAAUAAUAUGUGAAAAUGAACAGGACAUGCUGUUGAACAAGACCAUGUACAUAUCUUAUAUUUUCUAUGGUGUCUUGAUAUAUUCUUUGUGGUGAACGUGGAGUCUGUUGAUGUUUUCACCGAUGAAUGGGAUUUACUUAUUAAAGCAAUAAUACUAGCAAAUAACUUAUUAAAAAUUUGGUAAAGACUUGUGUUAAUUUUGUCUAUUGUGUAUGUGUUUAUUUUGUUGAUGUUAGUUUUUUUAUUUUGUCCUUGUUGCAUUUUUUAACAUUGUUCACAUGCAGUCCAAACCAAUGAUUGGGAAAUAGAUCAACAACUUUCUAUUAGGGGAAAACAUAGAGAUAGUGUUGUGCCACUUUUUUUAAUGCUAGCCUUUAUGUGCCAGGUCAAAUGUGACCUUUGUUGAGGUGAUAAUUUACAAUUUUUAGAACAUCUAAGUUGAUUCACGUGGUCAGAUAUAUAUUAUCUAGUUCAUCUUUGUGAUCUUUAUUUGUGUCUCAUUUCAUUUGCAGGAAUCACAAACAGAGUUGACACCGAUGAAUGGAAUCCAUCCACUGACACUCCAAAUUUUAAAUAUUAUUCCAGCAUUUGUGUUUGUCUAUGACAGUUAGAUCAGCUAUCGAGGGACCAAAUUUGCUUUAGAUUGCAAACUUGAGUUUGCUCGUACUGCUCAUCGAAAUUCUGCUACUGUUCAUUCCAGGUUGAGUGUAAGGCUGCGUAGCAAGUAGAACUCAGUCCCAUGUAGAGAGCGCUACUUCAGUGUUGAUAAGCUCUAGAGAUGUCCCCUGAUCUUCAACAGUGAGGUGUUAUAGCUGUAACCACUACUCGUAGGAUUUUUAUGCUAGUACACUUUGAGCACAAACUUUUGCAGGAACUAACCCGGAGUUGUCCUGGUUCUCACUUCCAGUAUAGGGGUGUGAUCUUGGCACCACCCCUUACUUGCUUUCUACUCAAACAAGUAAGUAUUCUAUCCUCUUUACAUUUUCUUGUCCUUCACAUUGAGGGUAAUGUUUGGAAUAGUUUUGAGGUGUGGGUGUUUGCGUGCAUUCUUCUUUUUGUGGUUGUAAUUUAUCCUAUUUGUGUGUAUAUGUAAGGUUUUCUCUCUAUUAAUUGUCACCAGAAACACUUUUUAGUGGUUUAUUAGUGUAGACUUAGUUUCUCUCAAGGGUUGGGGAACUAAGAUUCCCUAAUUUAAAACAACUUAUUAAUAUUUUAAUAUGUGAAAAUGAAUUUGUGCUGCUGAACAAGACAUGCUGCUGAACAAUACCAAGUAUAUAUAUUUUCUAUGGUUGCUGGAAAUUUCCUCUGUGGUGAACAUGGAGUUUGUUGAUGUUUUUUUCCGUUGAAUGGGAUUUACUUUUUAAAGCAAUAAUACUAACAAAUAACUGAUAUAAAAACUUUGGUAAAGGCUUGUGUUAAUUUAGUCCAUUGAAUAUGGGUUUGGAAUUCAUAUUGUUUGUAUUUUGUCCUUGUUACCUUUUUUACCUUGUUUACAUGCAUUCCAAACCAGUGAUUGGGAAAUAGAUCAACAACUUUCUACUAGGAGGAAGCAUAGAAACAGUGUUGUGCCACUUUUUUUUUAUGCUAGCAUUUAUGUGCAAGGUCAAGUGAGCCUUUUGUGCUAAGCUAGGCCACCUGUCAUAUUAACAAAACAAGUUUACGAGGUGAUUCUCUGACAAAUUCUAGGACAUCUAAGUUGAUUCAGGUGGUCAGAUAUAUAUUAUCUAUUUUCAUCUUUGUGAUCUUUAUUUAUGUCUCAUUUCAUUUUUUCAUUUCGUUUGCAUAAGUUUGCUCGUUUUCUAGGCAAGAAUCGAUCCAUCUAGAGCUCAAAUGCAUUACCAGUUUGCCCCUCCGCUUCAUCAGUUGGUGGAUUUUCCUGGAAAUUUGCAUCUCUACUUCUGACGGAAUAGCACUGGAAUUGGUGCUAUUCCCCACACACCCGAAAUUGGCUCUGACGAGAUGGAUCCUGUUGGUUCCCAGAUUCCUACAGGGUUUGUUUAGUUUAUGGUUUCUUUUGAUUUUUAUACUAUUUAUUAAUUAUUAGUUGUUUUUCUAUGACUAAACCCCGCGAGCAACAAAAACAAAAUUGAAUCAAAUUAGUAAAAUUAUGGUGAUCGUUUUUAGUUCCUUCAUCUCACAUUGCAAUUAGCGAUGGUCCACAAACUCUUGAAAAUGACAUAAUUCCUUCAUACCUUCUUGCUUUGCCCAGCUACUGAAGGAACCUUCCAGUUACGCAAAAGAACCUGGAAAUGCUACACAUCCACUAAUGCAGCUCUGUCUUCUGAGUAUCCCGGGACAAAUGUCUCUGAGCCAUUUAUAACCUUUGGGUGAUGCAUUGCAUAUGUACCAUACUAUCUCAGAGAAGGAUAAUAUUUCCGAUGAUGACUAUAUAAUUUCAUAAGCUGGGCUCGGUCUAGAAGUGGGAAUGAUGUCAAUCCUACAUGGAGUUAAGGAGGAGCUAACUUCUAAAGGAGGCAAGAUGAGAGAAGAAAUACCUAACCCCCAUUCACCUAACUUCCCAUGCAAACAGGGGAGUAUUUUGUUUCCCAUCAGGCCAUCACAUAUUUUUUCCUUCACAAUAAAGGGCAAUGUUAAGAUUAAGAUUUGGGGUGAGGGUGUUUGUGUACGUACAUGCUUGAUUAUGUGGUUGUAAAUAAUAUGAUUAAUCUAUCUCCGAUGUGUUGAUUCUGAAGGACCCUUUUUUCAUAAGUGUAUAUAUAACAAUGUGAAUACUGAAGAAGUUAUGUGUUUUUAAAUGUCAGGUCUAUGCCACGGAGCCUGAUGAGAAACUUAUACGAAAUGCAGCACAUUUGAUGGUAGCAAGGUUGGCAGGAAGUCUUGCUAAUGUAACUUGUUAGGCCUGUACAUCACAUUUAGGAACCUUUACGUGGUUCAGUAUCUAGCCAACUCAGAAGGUCACUUCAGGGCUUGGCCAUAGCAAAUGAUCUUCUAGAGCAGUCGUUUUAGCUGGUGACUAAUGGAAUCACAGGCGACGAUGACACCGAUGAAUGGAAUCCAUCCACUGAUACAUAUCUUCCUCGAUUGAUAGCCGCUCUGGAAAUGUUGAGUGCAAGGCUGCGCUGCAAGCAGAACUCCGUCCUUUGUUGAGAGAGCUAUUUCAGUAUUGAUCAUGUUCCAGAGAUGUCCCCUUUUCUUCAACAAUGAGUUGUUAUAGCUCAGAAUCGAUCCACCCAGAGCUCAAAUGCAUUUCCAGUUCACCCCUCGGCUUCAUCAGGAGCUGGAUUAUCCAGGCAAUUUGCAUCUCUACUUCUGACCAAAUGAGUGCUAGCAUUUACUCAUCUGGCCUUGUUAGCACUUGAAUUGCUGCUAUGCUCCAUACACCGAAAAUUGGCUCUGACGAGAUAGAACCUGUUGGAUCCCAGAAUCCUACAAGUUCGCUCAUCUCAUAUUUCAAUUGCUGAUGGUCCACAAACUCUUGUAAACGACAUCAUUCCUUCAUUCCCUCCUGCUUUGGCUAGCUACUGAUGGAACCUUCCAGUUGUGCAAAAGAACCUGGAUAUGCUGCACAUCCUACUAAUGCAAUUCUGUCCUCCGAGCAUCCUGAGACAAACCUUGAUAUUAGAAUGAGUUAUUUUGAUGAUACAAUCUCAUUUUUAUAUGUUUAAAUAUAUGUGUGCCUGCUUUAGAUUAUGAAGCACAAGUCCGAAUAGCAGCUGCCGAACAAGUUACAAAUUCAGUCGGGUUCUUAAUCUUGAAUUUGCUGUCCAACAUAUUAGGAGUUAAGGAGAAUUUUGUUUCCCCUCACAUAUUUUUUCCUUCACAUAAAGGGCAAUGUUAAGAUUAAGAUUUGGGGUCUAUGCCACGGAGCCUGAUGAGAAACUUAUAUGAAAUGCAGCACAUUUGUAGUAGCAAGGUUGACAGGAAAUUAUGCUAAUGUAACUUGUAGGAAUCACAAACGGAGUUGACACUGAUGAAUGGAAUCCAUCCAUCGAUGCACAUCUUCCUCGAUUGAUAACCGCUCUGGAAAUGUUGUGAUACACUCAAAAUUUUAAAUAUUAUUCCCGCAUUCGUGUUUGUCUACGACAUUUAGAUUAUCUAUCCAGGGACCAUAUUUGCUUUGGGUUGCAAACUUGAGUUUGCUUGUACUGCUCAUCUAAUUUAUGUUGCGGUUCAUUCCAUGUUGAGUGUAAGGCUGCGUAGCAAGCAGAACUCGGCCCCGUGUUGUGAGCUCUACUUGUUGAUCAAGUUCUUGAGAUGUCCCCUUUCAACAGAGAGGAGUUAUGGAGGAUAAAGGAGUGUUCUAUCUCGCCUCACAUUUUAUUAUCCAUCACAUAAAGGGAAAUGUUUAGAUUCAUUUUUGGGGUGUACAUGUUUGUAUGUACUAUGUGCACCGUGUAUUUUGUGUAUAGUGUGAGUGUAGUCUAGUGUAGUGUAGUGUGUGCAUUAUGUGUGUUUAGUGUUUAGUGU